CCCGGGGUAGCUCAGUUGGCAGAGCGUCUGACUGUAGACAGAUAUUAGGUAGUCGGCGGUUCGAUUGCGUCCUACGGGA
rnacentral:tRNA from 1 species